AAAAAAAUUGUGUCUUCGCACUUGAUGUUGAAGAACAUUAUCACCAAAUUUGAUCAAUUUCUUAUCAAUUUGACGAACGUAGCCACCCUCCUUAAAUCUCCAUUUUUCGUAACAGCUAGUUGUUGAUUCUCUUAGUAGUAAUAUUUUUCAACUGUUCCAAGAGUGUGGUCUAAUUGUAGAUGUGGAAAUAAAAGAUGAAGUUUUCAUGCUAAAGAUAACGUAUAGGAUGUAAAAGAUAUCACAGAGCAUUCUCGAAAAAACGAUAAAGUCAAGGUCUUUCUUUUCUUUCGACAGUUUGUGCACCUGUUCUAUAAUGAGAGAAGUAAUAGCCUUGUGUACGGACUAAUUUCACGACUUUGUUAAUUGGUUAAUUGCAACAACUCCGUUUAUAUUGUCACGUCGUAGAGUUGCGCUGCAGAUAAUAUUAUUGAUAAAAAGCAUUAUGCGAUAGUUGUGCGAUGAACAAUGCACGUGUUAUAAGAUAUGUAAAUCAUUUGAUAAACAUUAACAGAGUACCAUUAAAAGCAGCAUUGUUUCAUUUCCGAGUACUAAAAAAAUAGAUUUCUCUCAAAUGGCGAGCUAUUCGAUCUCCACAAUCACAUGCAUAAAUGCAUGUGGAAUGAUUUUGCCUAUCGUGUUGGAGUUUAUAUAAAACAACCUGCUGAACCGUGCAAAUUCAGUUAAACGAGAGGCCCUGCACAGUAGACCAAAGCAAAGUAUACCAAAAGUCCAAAAUUUUAACACACUUCUCGCUCCAUACGAAGAGAAGGUCGGACUCAUCUUUAAAUCCAAUAUCACAUCCCCAUUGUAAACAUCGAUAAUAGUCACUGGGGAAGGAAGUUGUAUCUUGUUAAUUCGACAACGUCCGGACAAAAGUGUGGAUUUAUAGCCGAUUUGAGACCAGAGGCACGGUUGUUCAGAGAUUAGGACUCGGCGGCAUCAACUGAGGAAAUUUCGAAUCAUAUUUGCGUAACGCUGAACCAAUAACCGUAACGCUAAAAAAGCACUGGUCGAUCUCUACGCUUUUAUUUGUAAUUCUAUAGAAGAUGAACAACAGAGCGCAACCAUAUGAGUCAAUUUAUAGUGAAGCAUUUGAUCCAGUUUAUGCCGAAAUAGAUGAGCCAAUUUAUGCCGAAAUAGAUGAGCCAAUUUAUGCCGAAAUAGAUAAGCCAAUUUAUGCCCAAUCAGAUGAGCCAAUUUAUGCCGAACCAUUUGAGCACACAUAUGAGCCAGUUUAUAUCGAACCAUAUGAGUCAAUUCAUGCCGAAUCAGAUGAGCCAAUUUAUUCCGAACUAGCUGAGCCACUUUACAGUCGAAUUGAUCCAAAGAAAAAAGCACUGGAUCGCGCUGCACGUUCAUCCGGACGAUCAAGAACGGAUGAAGUGCCAAUAUAUUAUGAGAGUCUUAACAGUCGAGUCAGUCCAAGUCAAAAAGCACAGGAUCGCCCUCGUUUACCCAGACGAUCGAGAACGGUUGAUGAGAAUAUUCGUAAUGAACUACAUGAAGAAAACGAUCCAGCGGGCGAUUAUGUUCAGAUUAGAAAUCCAAAUCGAAAUAGAUUUGCUAUACCAAGAGCACAUCGGAAUGCAGUUCUUUUUUCUAAUGAGCAAUUUGCUAUACCGGAUGACGAUGAAGAGCCAAUUUACGAAGAAAUUCCUAACGUUUGGAAAUCAUAAAAGGAUACAACUCAUAAUAAAAUCGUUAGAUGCAGAAAAAAUUGAAAUUUUUCGUUUAUAAUAUUUGACCAGGAAAAAACAAGGUUCAAUCGAUCGUGGAAAUGAUUUUUACUAUGGAAAUUUACUGUGGAUUCAAUCAAUUUUUUUAAGGAUAUAUUUCUUUCUUUUUCUCUUAUCUACUAGUUUUUAUGUUGUUUUAAGAUAUAUUCAUAGAGUAAUAUUGGAUAUUUUUUCUCAGUUAAUGAUAGUGUUAACCAACUGAAACUGAGAAAAAAUAUAAACGUCUGUAUCGGCCGGGUUUUCCACAGUUUUCCUUGGCCCUCGUGCGAAUGCGAUACAGUAUAAUAUAAGUUUGGGUAGCUGUGGGCAAUACCCUAAAGGUUGCGGGGGGGGGGGGGGAGGAGGGAGGGGGAGUUACAUGCAAACGAAAAAGUCACCGAAGUAGAUUAUUUGAAACGACUUCGAUUAUUGCAAUUAAGCUUCAAUGAGUGAUGGUAUAUAAAUAUUAGAUUCGCUUAACGAUUAUUGUUAGUUAUCAAAAUGUUUAUCAGACAUGUAUUAAUCAAUGUACUCGGAACAUAUAAUAAAAAGGUGUUAAGUUCUAUAAGAAGGUCCUGAUUCAUGCGGAAAUGUUAUGAACUUGUAAUUUUAAACGUUUGUAAUUUUUUGUUCUUCAUAUUAUGAUCUACAUACAGUUCAGGAACAUUGAGUUAGAGAGAAAGUGAUGAAAAUUGAUGGCCGAUGUGAAAAAUUUAUAUAUUUAUUGUCAGUAUCAAUAACUGGAAUUGAUUAUUGUAAAAUUAAAAACUAAAAAUAUGGUGAAAUAAAAUCAGAUCCGUGCAAACGUG